AAGUCGUAACAAGGUUUCCGUAGGUGAACCUGCGGAAGGAUCAUUAACAAAUUUGGGGGAUCUCCCGCCAUAAGCGCACGGUGGUCUGUGAUGGACCACUGUGGCGUCUGAGCCUGAGGGUUUAGGCGUCGAGGGAGGGCCAAGAGGCAGCAACUGCUGAUUGGCCCUUUUCUCACAUUUUGCCAUUUAUGCGUCGUCGUGUUUGUUGGGUUGACUGAUUGUGAAUUUAAUGUAAAAUAACUUUUAACAAUGGAUCUCUUGGCUCUU
rnacentral:misc_RNA from 1 species